rnacentral:rRNA from 1 species
GGGAUAACCUUGCGAAAGUAAGACUAAUACCCAAUGACGUCUCUAGAAGACAUCUGAAGGAGAUUAAAGAUUUAUCGGUGAUGGAUGGGGAUGCGUCUGAUUAGCUUGUUGGCGGGGUAACGGCCCACCAAGGCGACGAUCAGUAGGGGUUCUGAGAGGAAGGUCCCCCACAUUGGAACUGAGACACGGUCCAAACUCCUACGGGAGGCAGCAGUGAGGAAUAUUGGUCAAUGGACGAGAGUCUGAACCAGCCAAGUAGCGUGCAGGAUGACGGCCCUAUGGGUUGUAAACUGCUUUUAUAAGGGAAUAAAGUGAGUCUCGUGAGACUUUUUGCAUGUACCUUAUGAAUAAGGACCGGCUAAUUCCGUGCCAGCAGCCGCGGUAAUACGGAAGGUCCGGGCGUUAUCCGGAUUUAUUGGGUUUAAAGGGAGCGUAGGCCGGAGAUUAAGCGUGUUGUGAAAUGUAGACGCUCAACGUCUGCACUGCAGCGCGAACUGGUUUCCUUGAGUACGCACAAAGUGGGCGGAAUUCGUGGUGUAGCGGUGAAAUGCUCAGAUAUCACGAAGAACUCCGAUUGCGAAGGCAGCUCACUGGAGCGCAACUGACGCUGAAGCUCGAAAGUGCGGGUAUCGAACAGGAUUAGAUACCCUGGUAGUCCGCACGGUAAACGAUGGAUGCCCGCUGUUGGUCUGAAUAGGUCAGCGGCCAAGCGAAAGCAUUAAGCAUCCCACCUGGGGAGUAC